UCGUGGUCUUCUGACUCUUAGCAUCUUCCUCUCUUCUAUAAUGCUCUCUGAGCCUUAUUUAUAGCUGAUAGAUGUGUAGCCUUGCACUGUGGAUCUGUCUGUUGGAGUUGGGCACCCCCAAGUCACCUAUACUCUGUUUUCUGUAAUGGCUUCCAUCUGUUCUUUGUUUGUUUUUCAGCUUCUUUGAUGAGGGGUGAGAGCUACAUUGAUCUGUGGAUGUGGAGGUAAGAAUGUAGAAUAUGGUUAGAAACUGCAUGGGUUUGGGAAAGUGGUGGUAGUAGGUUUUAUGGUCUCUUAUAUAAGGAAUUAUAUCGGUUAUAAAUAAGGACACAACUUUCUCUCCAACUCUAUGCAUCUUCUUUCCUUAUCUUACUGCUCAAGCUAAGACUUCAUGUUGAGUUUGAGUUGAGAAAUUGGACGCCCUUAUCUUUUCCCUAAAUUUAGUGGAAGUGCUCGGAGGUUUUUCUCGUUAGAAUAAACUCGGCUGUAGCUCUAUCAAAUAUACAAAUAUGGACUUAAUUAUAUUGAUAUGUUUCUUCUGUUCCUAGACUCUCCAGAUCUUUUUAACAUGAAUGCACAUUGGACUUUGUAAAAGGCUUUUUUUUGGGGGGGGGGCAUCUAUUGAGAUGACUAUGCAAUUUCUGUCCUUAAGUCCAUUUUAAGUGUUGUAUUGUAAUUAUUGAUUUGGCUAUGUAGACGCAUUUCUAUAUCUCUGGGGUCAUGGUGAAUGAUCUUUCUAAUGUGUUUUAAAAUUAGAUUGGUAAUUUUUAAAAGUUUUGUAUUGGGGUGUGUGUGUGUGUGUGUGUGUGUGUGUGUGUGUGUGUGUGCACAUGUGUGUGCACAUGUCUUUAUCAAUAUGUAUGCACACACAUGCAAGUAGAGGCUAGAGACAGCCUUAGGCUCUCAGGUGCCGUUCAUCUUGUUUCUCUUGGGUCAGGGUCUGCCAGUGGCCCAGAACUUACCCAGUAUGUUAUACGGGAUGAGCAGUAAGCCCAAAGAAUCCUCGUCUCUUUGCCUUCCCGGUGCUGGUAUUACAAACAUGUGUCACCAUUUCUUGCUUUGCUGAAUGGCUUCUGGGGAUCAAUCUUGGCUUAGGUCCUUGUCCUUGGCUUAGGUCCUUGUCCUUGGCUUAGGUCCUUGUCCUUGCAAGGCAAGCACUGGAUGACCGAGGUCUUUCUUGAAGCCUGAAAAUAUUUGCAUCCAGCAGUUUUGUCUUUCUUUCCCCCACCCGUCCUCUUCCC
rnacentral:lncRNA from 1 species